UGCAAGAAUAUCACUUCACCAAAGCCAGUAACGAUUCCGUAGUCGAGAACUUUCACAAAAUGGAACAUAAAAAGGGAUAUUUCAACAACCCUUACUCUGGAAUAGAGAAAUGCCCCACAGACGAAGAUGGAUGCAAAGCCUACUUGCCAUUACAAAAAGAAGCGCAAUCUGAAUGCAUGAAAGGAUGUUUUCCUCCUCUCCUAAUAACAAAUGAUCAUGAGAAAGAAAAUCAUGCUCUUCAAACAGAUUAUAUCGUUGGAGCUUCACUCCUCCUGACAGUUGUCUUGAUGAUCUUCUUAAUAUUAGCCUCCAGACGCUGGAGAACACGUUCACAACAAGACGAAGAGAAUAAUGUUCAUCACGGUAAUGUACAACAUACAGACGAUCAUCACGGUAAUGUACAACAUACAGACGAUCAUCACGGUAAUGUACAACAUACAGAGACGAUCAUCACGGUAAUGUACAACAUACAGACGAUCAUCAUGGAAAUGUACAACACACAGACGAUCAUCAUGUUGGUGAUGUACAACACACAGACGAUCAUGUUGGUGAUGUACAACAUACAGACGAUCAUGGUGGGAAUGUGCCCCGAGAUUUGAAUAAAGGAGAUCAUGAUGGGGAUGAAAUCUUUAGAGUUCAGAGAUAAACGAUUAACCAUUUCAAUUUGUCACAAAUGUUACGUUGUAUUAAAAUUUCGUUUCUUUAUUGUAGUAAUAAGAAAUGUGUAUGUAAUAUGAGCUGAAAUGUUUUUCAGUUGGCGGGUUUUCCCUUGUCUUUGGGUCUUUCCCUUUAAAUAAAUUGACAUUUCAUUGACUAUUCGAGGUGUAUAACAGUCAUUCGUUCAUAGCGUUAUUAAAGACUGCUGAGAAGUUUCUUUUCAAAUUCAAACAAUGGUCACAACAUGUAAGCUUGGCUAUUUUAUGAACAAGGAAACAGGCUGCGAAGAUUGUCCCUUAAAGGAUGAUGGCUGUGAAAUUUUUAAAACAUUGCAAGAGGAUAUAUAUUCGGAAUGUAAAGAGAGUUGUUUUCCAAAUACUCAACCAUCAACAAAUAAUGAGAAUAUAUAUAUUGUUCUGUAUUCUUGUGUACCUGCAUUUCUUAUACUCAUUGGUGUAUUGAUAUUUGUUGUAAUACGGAAACGAAUGCAUCACAGUAGAAAAGAUGAUGAAGAAAAUGGUGAGGUAGAUAUACCUAACCCACAAGACAACAGAAGAGAUGUACCAUUGGACCUCAAUAAGUUUAGCGAUGAAGAGAGUUACAUAGAACAACUGCCUUCUUGUGAUCAACUAUGAGCUGUAUAGCAGAAUAACAUAUGAACAUGAAAAAUGUAGUUAUUUUUUUGUGAUUUUCGUCCACGUACUUUUAGUGCUUUAAUAAACGGUUCACCUGGAAUGAAACCCAUUUUCUACAUUAUCAACCUUCACUUAAUUAUUUUUAAUAUUAGACACUAACCUAUAUCAAUACCAACCACUUGGUCUACUUCGUGACCUGGUAACAUCUGCAGUAAAUCUUCUAUCCAGUGGAUAUAGUUCAACCUUAAAGGGACAGUAGGAAUGAGUCUGUUUAAUGGCAACUUUACGUUUAAUCCAAAGUCCUCAUGUAGCAAGGUCAUUGUUAAUUGACGCAAUGUUUCAGCAUUCUUGAAAUUAACAGUGAAACCACUUGAUGUAGGAAUCAAAUGUUUACGAAAUUCAGGGUACAUUUCGCCAAGUUUUUCAAAGUUUGCAGGUGAAUUCUUAUAUUUAUUUCGAGCAUGCAUAUUGACAUAUUUUAUGGUAUGUUGUAAAAUACAGCAUCAUCCAAUAUACGUCAUGUAAGAUGUUUUUGAAAUUAAAUGUGAUGACGUCACUAUAUUACCACUUGCCAGCGACCGUUCCGCGCAAAUUGUUUUGCGAGUGGUUUCCAGGCUUAAGUUGUCUCACUGUCAAAACUAUUUGGUCUACACAUUUUAUGGAGUAUGUUUGACACGCAAAACGUGACGUUUGAGUCGGAAAACAACGUACAAAAUAGUUUGUACCAGUCGCUGACAAAUGGUAAUAACCAAUGAGAGUAUAGCCCAUAUAAAAAAUCGUGCAGCUUUUUAAAAUUGCAAUUGUCAGUUCUUCUGGUUCGAUUAGUUCACGGCAAAGAUGAGUAUUUACAAUCAUUAUUUCAAUCAGUCAUUGUUCUCUGUUGUACUUCUAACCAAUGAUAAACCCUGUCUUAAUAAUAAAGAUUGCUGUUGCGAACAAUAAGGCGAACAAUAAAGUAUUUGCAUUAAAUUUGUUACAAGGAACUUUUAACAGGAGAGAAAAUGUUUAAAACGCGAUUUCUUUUAUGUUUUCUUUUUGCUCAAAGUUUAUCGUGUCCAAAUGGACAAUUUAAGACUGCUUUUGUCGAAGAGUGCGUUGACUGUCCAAUUAACGCCAAACUUACUUGUGAUAACGAAGGAUUGAAUAAAGAAAAUUGUCGGGAAAGUUGUGUUUCACAAUCAGCAUCUGAUGACAGGAGUAAAACAACUAUAAAGGACAGCACAAUUGACAAACUACCAAUUGUUGUUGGUGUUGGCGUGAGCAUCCUCGCAGUACUUAUCGUUUGUAUUAUUUUCGUUUGUUAUUAUUGGAUUUUGAGAAACGAUCAUCAGCCUAUACAGGAAUGUACGCCACGUCAAGAAAAUGUGAGACUAUCUGAAGAUGGUCAAGCAAUAGAUGCUGUUUAAUUUUGAGGAAGUUAAAAGUCUUCAAUGAAGUCAUUGUCAACUCAAUAAGUCAUUGACUUGAUGAAAAUAGUUUACACACAGAUAAAAGACGAUUGUAUAAUCUUUUACACAUUAUCACCUCUUUUACUUACACUAAUUUUGGCAUUUUCAAAAAAAAUCCUUUAAAAAAAUGUACAAUUUUUUAAUGAAGAACUUGUGCGCAUUAUAGACAUAUGAACUUCUUUCAAUGAAGAUAUAAAUAUUUUGUAGAGUGAUAGUGAAUUUCUGUGUAGUAGUAGUUACAUGAAGUAGCAUAUAAAUAAAAAAUAUACAAAUAAUGUUCUACUUUUGUGAAUAAAACUGCAACUAAAA